rnacentral:tRNA from 1 species
GCCUUCUUAGCUCAGUGGUAGAGCGCGUGGCUUUUAACCACAUGGUUGUUGGUUUGAUCCCCACAGAUGGUG